AAGCUGAAAUGGUAAAAUGAAAAACCAAAGCAAGUGCAUGGAGCUCUGCUAAUGGCAAUUUGAACACGAUCUUGAGCUACAUCGAGCAGAAAGUUAAAAGAUCCACAACAAAAGAAAACACCUUCGAAUUCACUAUAAAGCACAAACGGCUGAAGACAGGAGUUCCAUUUUAGCGGUUACAUGGAUACGUGAACCUCGUUUGCUUUGCGACUUCGAUUUUGCCAGCCUAGAGUGAAGCAUCAACUGGGCAUGUCGGGGUAAGAGAAAGCAUUAUGAAAAAACUGUUAGCAAUCUUCCGACAGCUUAAUUAAUACCACACGUAACUCCAGGUUAUUUUAACUUUAAUUUCAUGCUACCGGUAAUGAUAAUUUUAGGAUUCCAUAUGCGCCAGAUCUAGAGCAUUGAUCGGAGAUACACAAAAGAUAUCUGCAAACAGCUAGAGAGAUUCACACUCGAGACACACAAGUAAUAUACCCUCUCUUUCUGUCUGAGUCAGAAUGCUGUCAUAUGAUUAAGAGCGACCUUUAGCUCUAUCUUUCAACUUUACGCUUUGAAAGUUAUGAAGUUAGCCUCUAACGGGGCCUAGCCCCAUUUCCGACGAGGACCAGUUUCUGCAACGCGAAGAGAACAAUUUGAGUAAUAUCAUCAUCAUCAAAAGGUUUGGACAGCGUGUGCAGAAAAGAAGAGGACAUCGAGACACAGGAUAGGGAGCUGAAGGUGGAGGUGGGUUGGCUGAGUCUGCCGUGAUCUGAACCAAAAUGAGAUUGAACUCACAAAUCACAAGAUUACACUUGAAGGCUGUUGGGCACUUAGAAGACUCGAGAAUUCCUCGGGGACACUAUAGACGCAGAUAGGGGGACAUGAUAUAAACUCUAGCUUGAAAGAAACAUCACACUGGCUAGGCCUACCUAGAGCCUUUUUCAUUGCCCUUUACAGAGUUAAGCUCGACUGGUAGUUUGUGGAAGAACGUGACAAUAAAUUAUUUAAUUUUGCUUCUCUGGUUGUAGUAUAAGGAUGUCGAUUUUCAGAGAACUAUUCAUUUAUAUUUUGAUAUGUUUGAUACAAACCGUGCCCUGCUUUGGUCACGUGGGAAAGGCAAACCUAUAUAAAUUAUAGCACAGAAGCAGAAGUAAAGAAGAACAGACAGGGCGGACAGGAAUUUUUAAGAAAGGAAAUGAAGGAAGUGACAACUGUUCAAGGAGUGUUAGAAGUUCAUCUAACAAGCUAACACUUCGAAAUCUCAAUAAUGUUUUUUAGCAAGCAAGCG